rnacentral:lncRNA from 11 species
UUGGCACAAUUUGUAUAUUCUACUUUUCUUUCAUUAAAUCCUUCUCCUUCUUUUCUAUAUUCUUUGUUAUUGCUUUUGUUUUUUCCAUAUUUAUUUUGAAACCCGCCACUUCGCCAAAUUUUUUAAUUACCUUAAUCCAUUCUCCUAGCCUUUUUUUGGUUCUUCAAUUAUACAAAUUAAAUCGCUCGAACGUUGAAAUCAUGUCCUUGGAUCCGUGCUCCUUUCAGUUCUUGUUCUGUUCUUAUUUUAUUUAAUAAUUCUUCCAGGGUGAAAAUGAAUAUUAACGGUGACAGAGGACAGCCCUGCCUUGUCCCUUUUUUAUCUCUAGUGAUUUUGUUUCUUGGCCGUUUAUUAUGAUUUUUGUCUCUUGUUUUUCGUAUAUUGCUUCUAUCACAUUUUGAAAGUAGAAACCCAAAUCCAUUUCUUUCAUUAAUAAUUUUUUAAAAUUCCAAUUUACGUUAUUGAACGCUUUUUCUGCAUCCAGCGCUAGAAACAUGGCCUUAUUUUGGUUUUUCUUUUCAUAAUGUUCUGUUAGAUCAAUUAUUACCCUUACAUUAUCCUUUUGUUGUCUAUUUGGAAGAAAUCCUGCCUGUUUGCUUUCUUGCCUGAGGACGUGAGGAAUUAUAUCUGCAGCAAGUGCAAGCUGGUUGUACUGCUGGAAGAAAAAGGGAAAAAAGGCCCCCUCAAGAUUUAUCAGCAAGGACGAAACCAUUUUGGACAAAUCACAAAACAUUUAUUUGGAAAGGUCUUGAAGUGGAGCUGGCAAUUUCCUUUUAGUCAUGAUGUUGGGAAGGAGGCAUGAUAAAGCGAAUCC